AUGACCCCUUCCCGGGCCAAUAGGGUGUGCACCCUGUCCGGGGGCGGGGCGACCGUCAGCCCCCCUCACACCCCCCAGUCUUGCACCAAGCACAGCUUGGCAGUGUUUGCUGACAUUGCACAGAACAAGACCCUUGCCCAUAAAGGGGAACAGGAACGAAGGGCCACUGGCCCAUGCUUCCGGGACCUCAUCAGACUUGAGCCCAUCUGUGUCUGGGCCACCUGUCGGCUCCCCUCGUCUGAGGCAGCUGAGCACAGGGGGGCCCCCAGGGCAGGCCUGCCCCCUGCCUCACCGAACUUCCCCACCUUCCCUCGCUGCCUACUCAGAACUCGUGGCUCCAGGCUGCCCAGGACAAACGGAGGGGGGGGGGCUGUGAGGGGCUCUGUGAGCCCCUCUCCUUGCUGGGCUGUGUGGGUCCGGAGGGAGGGACUGGGGGACCCGGGACCCAGUGCAGGAGAGUGGGCCUGUCAUCUGGGCUCUGUAAGCCCAGCCCCCGCCCCCAGCCCGGAGCUGGCUGGCAUUGGCAUGCACCAUAAAUCUCCAGGACGUCGCAGCUGUGACUGGAUUAUUUAUAGUUCCCGUCUUACAUUUCUAACUCGAAAAUAUCACACAAAGGGAAAGGUAAUGAAAUCUCACCUCUCCUGCCUGUCCCUCACUUGCAAACUGCAGGGCUUUCCAGAAGCCCUCCUGGCUGAAGGAGGGAUGAGAGAGGCGCCCCCCUCCCCUCCCUGCCUCCCCCUGUCAGUCACCCGCGGCUCCCCACACCGCCCCUACACACUCUCAGACACACUCCCUCACGUUCCCCUCUCGCACAUACACUUCCUCCCAGAUGCACAGACAGCUCGGUGCUCUGGCUCUGCCUCUGGCUCUGGCCCGCCCGCCCCGCCCGAGCCCUUCCUACUCGCCCAGACACACCCCGCACCUCCUCGCCCCUUCCCUUCCACUCCCUUCCACCGCCGCUCCGGCUCCCCGGGUCCCUGCGUGACUAACUGCCUUCGCUGGUGUGUUUGCUUUUUGGCUUUGUCAAUGGAGACGCGGGCACAUUAA
rnacentral:lncRNA from 1 species